UCUGAACCCUCGACCGUGACUCCCAGCCGCUUCGCCCUGACGCACUUCCCCGGCGCCAGGUCAGAGCGGAUGGGGAUCAGGGCCGAGGAACGGAACCCC
rfam:Microbacterium chocolatum strain SIT 101 genomic scaffold Scaffold3, whole genome shotgun sequence.